AGGAGCAGCCUCCCCCUGCUCCCCUGCUCACUGCAGGAGCCCGGAGGAUUUUGGAUUUCGGCACAGAGUUACAUCUUUUGGCUGCUUUCCCUGCCCCCAGCCUGCUGCUGCUUUUUAAGGCAGUUUCUGAAAGGAGGGUCCAUCCCCCAGGAUGGCUGGGGCACUCCCAGGAGCCCAGGAGAACUGAUGUGACUGCUUGGCUGGCGAGCUGCCGUGCCCCAGGGGUAGGGGCACAACCCCAUGGUGCCAGGAGAUGCCUUCUGUCACAGCAGUCAGACACCAAACUCCAACCCGUGCACUUAAUUUUCGGUAUGGAUGCCGAGCAGGCGAGAAGCUGGAUUGGAAACCUUUCUUUACUGCUGCAUCUGCCAAGUGACUACUGAAGCAAAGUGGAGCAGCUCCAAUAGGAAGGUGUGAGAGACACAUCCAGGGAGCCCAAGGGAGAGAGGAGGAAGCUAACCCGUAUCUACCAUAUCUUGCAUUAAUGCUGGCACUUUCUGAGGGGAGAAGACCCUCUUCUUCCUCCAGCCGUACUUUUUGAGAAGGGCUUGUUAAAUGUAUUUAAUCCAGUGCAUCCCCCUCAGGCAUCCCAAAGGGACCCUGAGCACCCAUCGUCCGGUUUCCAGCUGUGAAAGAGGGCACACAACAAGGUGCUGCCCACACACCCAGCAUAAAUCCCACUCAGAGAAACCAUGGGAAGCAACAGUGACUUACUACUAGAAGAAUAAAAUCUACUUCUAUGGAGCCA
rnacentral:lncRNA from 1 species